UUGAACAAUAAAUUACAUUUUAACUGGAUAUUUUAACAAUUCAAAAUUUACGUUUUUCACAUGAAAACUUUCCAUUUGUGAUGUACAUAUGUAGAUAUGACAUCAAAACUCCAAGUUGAUAGACAGCCAUAUAGCAGACAAAAUUGUACGUCAUUCUAAUCCUAACGACUUUUACUAGUAUUUCGAGUAUCCAACAACAGCGCAGCAUUAGGCUCAUUGAAGGUAUAAUAAAAAGGAGAAAUGCCUUGGAGAAAUGCUACAAAUAUUCUGAGGCACGUUGAGACAACUACGAAAAAUCAGCGACAAAUUUUAUUGUGUGCGGCACAAAGAGUUCUCAUGUUUGCGCUUUUGCUGCUUAACCACGCGGUCGGCUCACCGCGGCAACAAAUAAAUAAAUAAAUAAAUACAUGUCAUUGGCAUUGUUUUUAUACGGAACUAAUUGGCGUUUCUAAGAAGGUGCUGAUUUUGACAUUUAAAAAUCACUUCAAAAGCUCGAUCGAUUUAAUCAUUUACUUAAUGAUUAUAAGUGUUGAUGUUCUAAUUUGAUUUUGUUGACGCAGCUGGGGUAAUUAACUAAUUUGACAGCUAUUUAGAGGUUUAAAUUGCAACAUAA
rnacentral:lncRNA from 1 species